CAGGCAUUGCUUGGAGGAGCUGAGACCAUUGUAGAGGGAUGACGCUGUGUUUCAGAGGAAUUCAUAAGCAGAAUUGAAUUUGUUUUAGUUAACUCCUUAUUUGAUUGGAAUAUUGUCGACUUAACAAAAUAGUAGAAAGAGCAUUGGGCUGAAGUGAGAAGAUUUGAAUUCUAGUCCAAAAUCUGUUACUAACCAGCUCUUUGACCCUGAGAAGUCAUUUGACUUGAAUUAUAGUCUUUUUCUUAUAUGGGAAAGGUGGAGUAUACUCAGAGUCUCUCCUAAGUGCUAAGAUUCUGUGAUUCUAUGAAAUCAGACCAUCAGAGAGGAAUACUGCAGUGUUCUCCUGCAUGGGUUGUAAAUGAGAAAAAAGAAAGAAGGAGAGCAAAAUGACUUAAAGACAUUUUCAAGAAAAAAAGAGGAGAGAAGUCACUGAAAUGGAAAAAUAAACAUAUUAUAUAACUAUUUAUUGCACUAUGCAAUAAAAACAUCUUCAGCAACAGCCACACAAGUGCGGGUAGAGGGUCUGCUUUGAAGAGAGAAAAAAGGCUGCUGCAGAAAAAACAAACCUCAAUUCAUAAUUGGAGCUUUUGUUCUUUCUGGAUUGUUUUGUGAAGAACAUGCUGCCAAAAAACAUUUUUCUUCUGUAACCGCUUCUUUUGAAACUCCAUUCUUUUUUAUUUCAAGGAUGUUUAUUAUCUACUCAUUUCUUUUUAUUUAUUUUUGAAUCAUAUACCCCAAUGUCUAGAUGACUGGGACCACUAGGUUUCAUAUUUCCCAGAUGAGAUUAGUUGUACAGUUCAUUUUGCAGGUUUAUUCAGAGCAUUUCAAUGGCAUUUCACCUACAGUUCACCUAUAUUGAGUCCUAAGAAAUUGAAGGUGUUUCUUGAUAGUUCUCCUGCUCCAUCUUCUUCCAGGGGAUUGAUUUGGCUUCUUAUGUUUUUGUAUUUGGUUGCUCAUUAGAGAUAAGCCUGAUUAUUUGGCAUUGUGUAUUUUCUCUGUUUUAAAAAGGGAAAAUACAACAUGUUAUUAAUUAUUAUGAUAUAAUAAAAAAUGGAGAGAAGGAAAA
rnacentral:lncRNA from 1 species